AACGAACGCUGGCGGCAUGCCUAACACAUGCAAGUCGAACGAGACCUUCGGGUCUAGUGGCGCACGGGUGCGUAACGCGUGGGAACCUGCCCUUAGGUUCGGAAUAACUCCCCGAAAGGGGUGCUAAUACCGGAUAAUGUCUUCGGACCAAAGAUUUAUCGCCUUUGGAUGGGCCCGCGUUGGAUUAGCUAGUUGGUUGGGUAAAAGCCUACCAAGGCGACGAUCCAUAGCUGGUCUGAGAGGAUGAUCAGCCACACUGGGACUGAGACACGGCCCAGACUCCUACGGGAGGCAGCAGUGGGGAAUAUUGGACAAUGGGCGAAAGCCUGAUCCAGCAAUGCCGCGUGAGUGAUGAAGGCCUUAGGGUUGUAAAGCUCUUUUACCCGGGAUGAUAAUGACAGUACCGGGAGAAUAAGCGCCGGCUAACUCCGUG
rnacentral:rRNA from 1 species